GACGAACGCUGGCGGCGUGCUUAACACAUGCAAGUCGAACGGGAGUAUUGAAGAAGCUUGCUUUAGAGAUACUUUAGUGGCGGACGGGUGAGUAACGCGUGAGGAGCUGUCCUAUGCAGGGGGACAACAGCUGGAAACGGCUGCUAAUACCCCAUAAGCCGAGAGGUAAAAGGAUCAAUCCGGCAGAGGAGGUACUCGCGUCCUAUCAGCUAGUAGGUGAGGUAACGGCUCACCUAGGCGAAGACGGGUAGCCGGCCUGAGACGGGCGAACGGCCACGACUGGAACUGGAGAUACGGUCCAGACUCCUACGGGAGGCAGCAGUGGGGAAUAUUGGGCAAUGGGGGAAACCCUGACCCAGCGACGCCGCGUGGGUGAAGAAAUCCUUCGGGAUGUAAAGCCCGUGUUGUAUGGGAAGAGGCGGAAGACGGUACCAUACGAGGAAGCCCCGGCAAACUACGUG
rnacentral:rRNA from 1 species